UGCAUUAAAGUAUUGUUUCUUUGUGGAUGUUUUUUUUCUCAAUUUCCCAACAGUUUUGUGAGAAAGCAAAGAACUCUACUCAUAGGCAUAGCGGAAACUCAUCUAAAUGGUCAGGAGAGGACAACGUCUUGUAAGAAAGGAUUAUCUUUCAAUUUUCUGGAAUUUAAGACUUGGAAAUGUGUUGCAUUUUGUAUCUUGUGCCUGUACUUCUUUUAUCAGCCCGUGACAAUUUAGAAGAAAAAAGUGUCAAGGAGAUCCAUAUAUAACGAAAGACUUCCUAUAAUUAGGUAUGCUAUUUCUUUAAUGGCAGUAAAGCAUUGUGUCUUUGUGGAUGUUUUUUUUCUGAAUUUCCCAACAGUUUUGUGAGAAAGCAAAGAACUCUACUCACAGGCAUAGCGGAAACUCAUCUAAAUGGUCAGGAGAGGACAUCGUCUUGUAAGGAAGGAUUAUCUUGCAGAUUUUUUUAUAUUUAAGACUUGUCUACUCUUCUGGAGAUGUGUUGUAUUUUGUAUGGUAUGCCUGUACCUCUUUUAUCAGCCCGUGACAAAGUAGAAGAAGAAAUGUCAAAGAGAACCUAAUGGUCAAAAGAAGUCCUAUUAUUAGGUAUGCUCUUUCUUUACUGGCAUUAAAGUAUUGUUUCUUUGUGGAUGUUUUUUUUCUGAAUUUCUCAACAGUUUUGUGAGACAGCAAAGAACUCUACUUAUAGGCAUAGCGGAAAUUCAUUGAAAUGGUCAGGAGAGGACAUCGUCUUGUAAGAAAGGAUUAUCUUGCAGUUUUUUCAUAUUUAAGACUUGUGAAGUCUGCUGGAGAUGUGUUGUAUUUUGUGUUGUCUGCCUGUACCUCUUUUAUCAGCCCGUGACAAAGUAGAAGAAGAAAUGUCAAAGAGAACCUAAUGGCCAAAAGAAUUCCUAUUAUUAGGUAUGCUUUUUUUUACUGGCAUUAAAGUAUUGUUUCUUUGUGGAUGUUUUUUUUCUGAAUUUCCCAACAGUUUGGUGAGAAAGCAAAGAACUCAACUCAUAGGCAUAACGGAAACUCAUCUAUAUGGUCAGAUGAGGACAACAACUUGCAGUUUUCUGGAAUUUAAGACUUUGAAAUGUUUUGCAUUUUGUAUGCUACAUUAUGUCCUUUUGGAUGUUUUUUUUUCUGAAUUUCUCAACAGUUUUGUGAGAAAGUAAAGAACUCUACUCACAGGCAUAGCGGAAACUCAUCUAAAUGGUCAGGAAAGGUAGUCUUGUAAGAGAGGAUUAUCUUGCAGUUUUUUCAUAUUUAAGACUUGUCAAGUCUUCUGGAGAUGUGUUGUACUUUGUGUUGUCUGCCUGUACCUCUUUUAUCAGCCCGUGACAAAGUAGAAGAAGAAAUGUCAAGGAGAACCUAAUGGUCAAAAGAAUUCCUAUUAUUAGGUAUGCUCUUUUUUUACUUGCAUUAAAGUAUUGUUUCUUUGUGGAUGUUUUUUUUCUCAAUUUCCCAACAGUUUUGUGAGAAAGCAAAGAACUCUACUCAUAGGCAUAGCGGAAACUCAUCUAAAUGGUCAGGAGAGGACAACGUCUUGUAAGAAAGGAUUAUCUUUCAAUUUUCUGGAAUUUAAGACUUGGAAAUGUGUUGCAUUUUGUAUCUUGUGCCUGUACUUCUUUUAUCAGCCCGUGACACUUUAGAAGAAAAAAGUGUCAAGGAGAUCCAUAUAUAACGAAAGACUUCCUAUAAUUAGGUAUGCUAUUUCUUUAAUGGCAGUAAAGCAUUGUGUCUUUGUGGAUGUUUUUUUUCUGAAUUUCCCAACAGUUUUGUGAGAAAGCAAAGAACUCUACUCACAGGCAUAGCGGAAACUCAUCUAAAUGGUCAGGAGAGGACAUCGUCUUGUAAGGAAGGAUUAUCUUGCAGAUUUUUUUAUAUUUAAGACUUGUCUACUCUUCUGGAGAUGUGUUGUAUUUUGUAUGGUAUGCCUGUACCUCUUUUAUCAGCCCGUGACAAAGUAGAAGAAGAAAUGUCAAAGAGAACCUAAUGGUCAAAAGAAUUCCUAUUAUUAGGUAUGCUCUUUUUUUACUGGCAUUAAAGUAUUGUUUCUUUGUGGAUGUUUUUUUUUCUCAAUUUCCCAACAGUUUUGUGAGAAAGCAAAGAACUCAACUCAUAGGCAUAGUGGAAACUCAUCUAUAUGGUCAGGAGAGGACAACGUCUUGUAAGAAAGGAUUAUCUUUCAAUUUUCUGGAAUUUAAGACUUGGAAAUGUGUUGCAUUUUGUAUCUUGCCUGUACUUCUUUUAUCAGCCCGUGACAAUUUAGAAGAAAAAAGUGUCAAAGAGAUCCAUAUAUAACGAAAGACUUCCUAUAAUUAGGUAUGCUAUUUCUUUAAUGGCAGUAAAGCAUUGUGUCUUUGUGGAUGUUUUUUUUCUGAAUUUCCCAACAGUUUUGUGAGAAAGCAAAGAACUCUACUCACAGGCAUAGCGGAAACUCAUCUAAAUGGUCAGGAGAGGACAUUGUCUUGUAAGAGAGGAUUAUCUUGCAGUUUUUUCAUAUUUAAGACUUGUGAAGUCUUCUGGAGAUGUGUUGUACUUUGUGUUGUCUGCCUGUACCUCUUUUAUCAGCCCGUGACAAAGUAGAAAAAUACAUGUCAAAGAGAACCUAAUGGUCAAAAGAAUUCCUAUCAUUAGGUAUGCUCUUUUUUUACUGGCAUUAAAGUAUUGUUUCUUUGUGGAUGUUUUUUUUCUGAAUUUCCCAACAGUUUUAUGAGAAAGCAAAGAACUCUACUCAUAGGCAUAGCGGAAACUCAUCUAAAUGGUCAGGAGAGGACAUCAUCUUGUAAGGAAGGAUUAUCUUGCAGAUUUAUUUUAUAUUUAAGACUUGUCCACUCUUCUGGAGAUGUGUUGUAUUUUGUAUGGUAUGCCUGUACCUCUUUUAUCAGCCCGUGACAAAGUAGAAGAAGAAAUGUCAAAGAGAACCUAAUGGUCAAAAGAAUUCCUAUUAUUAGGUAUGCUCUUUUUUUACUGGCAUUAAAGGAUUGUUUCUUUGUGGAUGUUUUUUUUUUCUCAAUUUCCCAACAGUUUUGUGAGAAAGCAAAGAACUCUACUCAUAGGCAUAGCGGAAACUCAUCUAAAUGGUCAAGAGAGGAUAUCGUCUUGUAUGAAAGGAUUAUCUUGCAGUUUUCUGGAAUUUAAGACUUUGAAAUGUUUUGCAUUUUGUAUGCUACAUUAUGUCCUUUUGGAUGUUUUUUUUUCUGAAUUUCUCAACAGUUUUGUGAGAAAGUAAAGAACUCUACUCACAGGCAUAGCGGAAACUCAUCUAAAUGGUCAGGAGAGGACAUCGUCUUGUAAGGAAGCAUUAUCUUGCAGAUUUUUUUAUAUUUAAGACUUGUCUACUCUUCUGGAGAUCUGUUGUAUUUUGUAUGGUAUGCCUGUACCUCUUUUAUCAGCCCGUGACAAAGUAGAAGAAGAAAUGUCAAAGAGAACCUAAUGGUCAAAAGAAUUCCUAUUAUUAGGUAUGCUGUUUUUUUACUGGCAUUAAAGUAUUUUUCUUUGUGGAUGUUUUUUUUCUCAAUUUCCCAACAGUUUUGUGAGAAAGCAAAAAACUCAACUCAUAGGCAUAGCGGAAACUCAUCUAUAUGGUCAGGAGAGGACAACGUCUUGUAAGAAAGGAUUAUCUUUCAAUUUUCUGGAAUUUAAGAAUUGGAAAUGUGUUGUAUUUUGUAUCUUGUGCCUGUACUUCUUUUAUCAGCCCGUGACAAUUUAGAAGAAAAAAGUGUCAAGGAGAUCCAUAUAUAACGAAAGACUUCCUAUAAUUAGGUAUCACCACUAAGCGGCUAAAGCAUAUUCAAAGUGUACAAAGGCCCUUUCUGCUGUAUACUUCCAGGACGUGGCCCUCACACCUUUCCACAGAACUUUUUCCAAAGUAUAUCAGAUCAGGAAUCAAGAUGGACUGAACUGUUCAAAAUGGCAACCAUCUGGAUCGUAGUGUGGAGCAUGCCGUUUGGACGUGUACUAAACUAGAUGCUGUCUGGACUGAAGCUACACAUGGAAUAUUAGCCUAUGAAAUAUUCAAGGAAAUCAUACAGUCAGACAAGUAUUGCUAACCUCACAGUGGUUAAACUAUUUUGGAAUUCUGGACAUAUAGACACCCCCUUACAAAACAAAUCUUGGAACAUAAAUUAUCCUACAUGAUGGGGCUUGGCAUAGCAAGACAAACAAUCGAAAAUUUCUUCUGAUAUGGGAAACAUACCUAGGCAAACAGGAAAAUCAAAAGCAAUAUACAUUACAAGCUCCUUUUCAAUUCACCAAUCAAUGAACAAGACUUAAGGUCUCAUCUUCUUCUCUAGAAAAAUGCCAUCUCAUGUAAAUGAUACUGUAGAGUCUCCUAUAUCAUGUGAAUGGGUCUACUCCUUGGAAGAUUCCCAAGCCAUUAUAAAAAAUAGCUCUAUACCAGGGAGAUCAAGAGAGAAAAUAGGGUAAACAAUGUGAUAUAUUUGACAUUUGAUAUGGCUAAAUGAUUCAUUGAUAUUAUGACAUGUAACCAAAGCUACACCAGGGGGCACAUUUAUCAAAAUGUGAGUUUAGCUUAAUAGCUUAAUGAGCUUAAUACAUAAAACUCACCUACAAUCUAUUCAUUCCUAUGUGAUUUUUAGAACUGUAUUUAUCAAAAGGUGAGGUCUAACUUUCACCCAAUGAUAAAUACACUUCUAAAAAUCCCAUAGGAAUGAAUAGGAUGUGGGUGAGUUUUAUGUAUUAAGCUCUAAACUCACAUUUUGAUAAAUCUGCCCCCAGGUGUUUCCACAUCAGGUUGGUUUUGCACACCUGUAUAGUAAGUAGGGAUACACCGAAUCCAUGGUCCUGGCUAAUCCUAAAUUAGCAUAUGCCAAUUAGGAUUUGGAAGGGUUAAAUGUUAGGGGAAAAAAAUUUUUAGACACGUGCACAACGAUUUUCCCCCCCCCUUACAGAUUUGGCCAAAUCCCUUGGGAUGGAUUUGGGGGUUCGGUGCAUCCCUAACGGUAAUGUAUGGGAACUUCAGGCAUGUGAAUAUAUUACUGUACUGGGACCCAAUGUUGCCAUUUAAAGCUGUACCGGUAAAAAUAUUUCAUUUUGUACCGAAUGUUAGGAGUUUUUUAUAAAUGGCAUAGAUGAAAGUACAAGAACACUAAAGGGAACAAAAUCUCUUCCUUCAUUCACUUAGCAUUUGUGUCCCAGGUCAUAGCAGCAUUCUGCAUCUUUCUCUGUGAUUUAGUUUUGCAGAUUAAGGGCAUAGAUGGGGGUGAUACCUUAAAGCCAUGAUACAUAAUUUAUUGUGUAUGAAAUUAUUUCUAUAGGGCUUUUCUCAUGAGUCACAAUGGGUUUUACAGCAAUCAAGGCAGUCAUGAUAGGAGCGCAAAGAAUGUUGGGACACCAGGUGAUCAAGUGACUUAUCCAGGGUUACAAGGAGUUGUCUAUCAGGAUCUGAAGCAUGAAAUCCCACACCAUUGGUCACUUUCCCUCUAGGCCAACUCCUACGGAAGCCAUAUGAAUUCCCAUCCACAUAUGGAAAAUGGAUUUAUGGAUAAAAUAUUAAACUACUUUAUACAACAAGAUGAGACUUCGGAAUACUGUAUUGAAGGAUGAACUUAUUUCAUCAUUACUGCUAAUAUGCUGUGCUCUUAAUAAAAGUUUAUCAUUUUAAUUAGUA